rnacentral:ribozyme from 1 species
AUGUUGGCAAAAAGUUUAAAAGAUGGAUUGCUUCUUGUUGAGUGACAUCAUAAGACUCAAAUAGAUCCAAAUAUUUUUCUGCCUUUUCUGGGGUCAUGUCUUUCACUGGGGUUGAUUUUAAGUAUUCAAUUGUUGAAGA